rnacentral:rRNA from 1 species
CCUAUGGGGUGCAGCAGUGGGGAAUAUUGGACAAUGGGCGAAAGCCUGAUCCAGCCAUGCCGCGUGUGUGAAGAAGGCCUUCGGGUUGUAAAGCACUUUCAGUGGGGAAGAAAGCCUUGGGGCUAAUACCCUCGAGGAAGGACAUCACCCACAGAAGAAGCACCGGCUAACUCCGUGCCAGCAGCCGCGGUAAUACGGAGGGUGCGAGCGUUAAUCGGAAUUACUGGGCGUAAAGCGCGCGUAGGCGGUCUGAUAAGCCGGUUGUGAAAGCCCCGGGCUCAACCUGGGAACGGCAUCCGGAACUGUCAGGCUAGAGUGCAGGAGAGGAAGGUAGAAUUCCCGGUGUAGCGGUGAAAUGCGUAGAGAUCGGGAGGAAUACCAGUGGCGAAGGCGGCCUUCUGGACUGACACUGACGCUGAGGUGCGAAAGCGUGGGUAGCAAACAGGAUUAGAUACCCGUGUAGUC